CCUACGGGAGGCAGCAGUGGGGAAUAUUGGGCAAUGGGCGCAAGCCUGACCCAGCAACGCCGCGUGAAGGAAGAAGGCUUUCGGGUUGUAAACUUCUUUUAAGAGGGAAGAGCAGAAGACGGUACCUCUUGAAUAAUCCACGGCUAACUACGUGCCAGCAGCCGCGGUAAUACGUAGGUGGCAAGCGUUGUCCGGAUUUACUGGGUGUAAAGGGCGUGCAGCCGGGAAUACAAGUCAGAUGUGAAAGCCCGCGGCUCAACCGUGGAACUGCAUUUGAAACUGUUUGUCUUGAGUGCCGGAAGGGACAUCGGAAUUCCUGGUGUAGCGGUGAAAUGCGUAGAUAUAAUGAAGAACACCAGUGGCGAAGGCGGAUGACCGGAGGGCAACUGACGGUGAGGCGCGAAAGCGUGGGGAGCAAACAGGAUUAGAUACCCUAGUAGUC
rnacentral:rRNA from 1 species